AUGGCGGUCACCAUCGACGACGGCGCGACGGCUUCCUUCUGGUUCUCCUCGUGGCUUAGCGGCAGUCAGCUAUGUUUGGCAUACCCAACGGUGUUCGCCCAAUCCAUCUGCAAAAACAGAUCAGUCCGGGAAGCUCUGCACCAGGACAGAUGGAUCCUCGAUCUCCGUCAUGGUUUGGAACAAAGUGGCAACCUGGGUGGGCUGCAGCUCACUGGCACACAUCAACUGGAGCACAGGAACGGCGUGGAGGGGGAGUUCGACAAAGGUCAAGUGGAGAGUAGGGAUGCAUGUGUACCGCCCCUUCUCCCCUCGCCGCCGCCGGUGGGCGUCACCGGGCAAAGCUCGUGUGGCUUGGCGGCAGUGAGGCCCUCUCCUCCUCCUUCUUGGAGUGGCGCGGCGCGGGCCGGCCGCUUCGAAGGAGUUCCGGCGCCUUGGCAUCUGGGGCGGCGCAGCGAGGAAGCGCACAUGGUGGGGCGAGCACGGCGGGCCUUCGCAGGUGGCGGGGCGUCGUGGUGCUCUGAAGCAUGCCGUGCGCGCGCGGAAGGGGAGGAUAAGCGCGGAUCUGAAGCGCGCGGGCUCGCACGGCAGCGUGAGGUGGUGCUUCGGCUCUGGCGGUGCUGCGGUGAUUCGGCAAGGGAGCGGCGUGGAUGCGCAAGGGUCCUUGCUGCCCAGAUUUGUCUGCAGCUCGGGUGGGAAGGAUGCGCUCAUGCGGCGAGGGCAGACAGGGGCUUCCAGAGGCUGCCGGGAGAGGUGAGGCGUGCCGAGGGCGGCGGUUCGGCUGCGAGGGCACGACUGGUGUGGCGCUCGUCACGGCCGUGCUCGUCGGACAACAGCCGCCGUGAGGAGUGCAACGGCCGCUGCAGAGCUCUGUUCCCUCGCCCGGGUCGUUAUCCAGUGCGCGCAGCCGCGGAGCUCCCUUCCAGUGUCGCCGCAGUGCUUCCUCCCACUGCCCGUCGGCGUCUACUGCGCGCAGGCGCGGAGCUCCCUCCAGCGCGGCCGCAGAGCUCCCUCCCGUCGUCCAUGGCGUAUUGUGCGCGCAGCCGCGGAGCUCCCUCCGGCGCCGACGCAGAGCUCCCUCCUAUCGUCCAUCGGCUUCUACUGCGCGUUGCCAUGCUGCAUCUGCCUCCAUUAGCCCGAGCAGGAGGACCCGCGCAGGAGACGGCUCGGGGGCUCUGCGUCGAGGUCGAGCACGGCGCGCGCCGCAGACGGGGCGGAUGGGCACGAGGUCGACGCCGACGACGAAGGCGCCGGUGGGGGAACGGGCGGACGGGGCGGGGGCACCAGGUUGAGCACGGCGCGCGCCGGCGGGAGGAACCGGAAGCGGUCGUCGAGCUGCUGCAGCUUGAAGGCCGCGCGGCUCCGGUAGCCCUACUCCUUGGCGAGGUGGUAGUACUUGUCCUGCCGCUGCCUCCCCUUCGCCUUGCCCAUGGAGCUCUCGACCUGCAUCGGCAAAGAUGGCUCGCCGCGCACAAGCUGCUCGACACAAUGCUCCAUAGAAAUAGAGAUGGGAUGAAGAUGACUAUGUAG
rnacentral:rRNA from 1 species